GACUCUGAUGCUGGGAGGGAUUGGGGGCAAGAGGAGAAGGGGACGACAGAGGAUGAGAUGGCGGGAUGGCAUCACUGACUCGAUGGACAUGAGUCUGAGUGAACUCCGGGAGUUGGUGAUGGACAGGGAGGCCUGGCGUGCUGCGAUUCAUGGGGUCGCAAAGAGUCAGACACGACUGAGCAACUGAUCUGAUCUGAUCUGAAGCACCGAGGAAGCAGCAAAAGUCUAAGGAGACUGCUUAUGAGUUACCUACUUGAAAUGCAGGCUUGACAUGAAUAUCCGGAGGAAGCUAUGUGCUUUGCUUCUGUUUUAGGUUUUCCAGUCUUAGGAUGGAGGCCUUAGUGGUUUUCCCCAAAGAAUCAUUGAAUUUGAGGAUUCGUACAACCUCAAGAGAAGAGUUUGUUCUCCAUAAUAUAAAGAACAAAGUGGGCUUUGUACACUUGCUGGUGCCAUUUGUGGCAGAGAAGGACUUUCUCGGAUUGCUUUGGGAUGAUGAAGAGCGUGUCUCUCAUCCAAAAACUGAAAUGAUACCUUCAGGAACAAUCAAAGGCAAGACUUUCCAGCAGAAUGGUGACAAGAUCUGGAAAUGGAAGUAGAAUCAGCAUCUCUGGAACCCCAGAUUCCCAAAUGGAAAUCAGGGACUGCUGAGGAGGGGGAGGGGAGCAGAUGCUGGGGAGACAGCCAACAAUGUGUACAGCACACUCAAUUUCCCACAGUGAAUGAUAGAAAAUAAAACAAAGCAUGCUUUUGAAACCA
rnacentral:lncRNA from 1 species